rnacentral:rRNA from 1 species
AUUGAACGCUGGCGGCAGGCCUAACACAUGCAAGUCGAACGGUAACAGGAAACAGCUUGCUGUUUCGCUGACGAGUGGCGGACGGGUGAGUAAUGUCUGGGAAGCUGCCUGAUGGAGGGGGAUAACUACUGGAAACGGUAGCUAAUACCGCAUAACGUCGCAAGACCAAAGAGGGGGACCUUCGGGCCUCUUGCCAUCGGAUGUGCCCAGGUGGGAUAAGCAAGUAGGUGGGGUAACGGAUCACCUAGGCGACGAUCCCUAGCUGGUCUGAGAGGAUGAACAGCCACACUGGAACUGAGACACGGUCCGGACUCCUAGGGGAGGAAGCAGUGGGGAAAAUUGUACAAUGGGCGCAAGCCUGAUGCAGCCAUGUCGCGUGUAUGAAGAAGGCCUUCGGGUUGUAAAGUACUUUCAGCGGGAAGGAAGGGAGUAAAGUUAAUAACUUUGCUCAUUGACGUUACCCGCAGAAGAAGCACCGGCUAACUCCGUGCCAGCCGCCGCCGUAA